AUGUAACGAGAAAUUGGGAGGAGCACAGCUCAUGAGAACCUUCUAGAACUGUCACCGGCCAAUGUGGAUUUUGUCCUUCACACAGCACAUAUGACAUGCCAGGAAGUGAUGCAAAAGAGACUCACCUUGAUUGAUAAAGGACUUCUACAUGGAGGACCCGUGGCCCAUUCCCUGUAUGUCAUUUGAUAUAUUUCAUAUCACCUGCCCCUUCUAGUGUACUCAACAGACUUUUUAUUUACUAGUUACAUUCUUCCUUAGAUGCUGCAGGAGCUGGCAUCAGCUGGCUGCAUACAUCUUUAAUGAGGCAAGCAAGACUCUGCUUGCUCACAUGGCCACGACAGGAAUAAAUUCAGGGAGCAGGCAGCUCAGCUUACAUUGUGUGCAGUGUAACUCUGGAGCCCAUGAUCCUACGGGGUGUCACGUUCAGUCAGAUGAACCAGAACCAAGCUGGGAAGCAAAGGAUGCCACUCACUGUUCAAAGUGUGGGAAGCUUUUAAGCUGAAAAAUCAAGCUCUGCUACGGAAGAAGCCUUGCUGAAUUUUAUAUCUCAUCCGGUUGCCUUCUAAACCCUAAAGUCAUAUAAUACAGCCACAAUUUCUUUUAGAGAGCAUGUUGCAGUUUACAAAUUGCUUUUUUAUACCCAUUAUCACAUUUGCUCUCUAUAACAGCCCCGUGCCAUCCCAGACGCAUCUCUGAAAGCUCUUCCUUUUAACAAUGGCUGCUGGUUAGAGAAUCUACCCACUGGAGAAAGCAGCACCUUCCAGCAACAGUCAUGUUGCCCUGGUAGCACGGGCCAGCUGCAGCCAGCGAUUCAGGAGGAAUGGAAGGCGAGGGCCCAACACAGACAGACCCGGGGAGGCCCUGGAGGCUGAGAUGGUGGCUUUGGGAACUGACCGAUGUUGA